AAUUUCUUAGGUACUGUCACUUUAAUAUUUUGACAUUUUAGAGGUUUUAAUCUAAUAUUUUCAUCUUGGAAGGAUUAAUUGGUUAUUUAAUUAGUAUUUUGGCCUACUAUAAUUGCUUUAUUUUAUUCCUUUAGCCCUCCUUACAGCCUAGAAAAAAUGACAGAUCUCGUAGCUGUUUGGGAUGUUGCUUUAAGUGACGGAGUCCACAAGAUCGAAUUUGAACAUGGGACUACAUCAGGCAAACGAGUAGUAUAUGUAGAUGGAAAGGAAGAGAUAAGAAAAGAGUGGAUGUUCAAAUUAGUGGGCAAAGAAACAUUCUAUGUUGGAGCUGCAAAGACAAAAGCGACCAUAAAUAUAGACGCUAUCAGUGGUUUUGCUUAUGAAU
rnacentral:lncRNA from 1 species